GGCCUCCCAAUUCUUACCACAGGCUGUGUUCUUUACACUGACAUACAGUCAGAAAGAGGAGGUACAGUAAAUGCACCCCAUAUACAUCUCAACCCAGGCCCUUUGCCUGGUCUGUAUUGUGAAUUGGGGGACAAAA